ACGGGGGGGGCAAGCGUUGUUCGGAAUUACUGGGCGUAAAGGGCUCGUAGGUGGCCAACUAAGUCAGACGUGAAAUCCCUCGGCUUAACCGGGGAACUGCGUCUGAUACUGGAUGGCUUGAGUGUGGGAGAGGGAUGCGGAAUUCCAGGUGUAGCGGUGAAAUGCGUAGAUAUCAGGAGGAACACCUGUGGCGAAGGCGUCCAUCUGGCCCGUUACUGACGCUGAGGCGCGAAAGCUAGGGGAGCAAACGGGA
rnacentral:rRNA from 1 species